GUAUAUGUACUCGAGUAUGGCAGUUUUAAUUCAGACGAGUAGGCUUAUCGAUACAAUAUGUCAGAAAUAAGCAUUAUUUUACCCCUGUAGUAACUGAAGAAUUGGAAAAAUUUUGAGAGUAAAUUGGGCUCAUCAACUUAAAGUUGAUUGAAUCUCAAUCAAACCAAUUCCAAACGAAGAAAAUUAACCCCCCAAAAAAUUGUAGUAGAAUCUCAUCAUUUUUCUGCCUCCAAGAUUUCUAAUCCACAGAUUUCGUGGUGAAGGUACGUAACUCGAAAACGUAUCAAGCAGUCCGGUCGGACUGCCCCGCCAAGAUAGAAAAAAAAAACGCACACAAAAAAAAACAACAACAACAAUAAUAAUACAAACGUGAUGACAGUCCGGCCACUUACUGCUUAAUUCUCUGAACAACUAAGCGUAUUUUCGAUGUUCAAUUUCUCGCGAAUAAAAAAACGUACGAUUCUGAUUUUUUGAUAUGUUGUUGGCAUCAACGAGAGCUUUAAUUUGGUAUACUUACAAACUUUCUACGGUAAAAAAUGAUGUAGAUUGAAGUACCCAAAGUUAGCAUUUUGGGGUAAUUUUUGAAAUCACAAAUUUUCGUGUCAACAAAAAACUACUGAACCAAUUCAAGUCAAAUUUCGUACACUGGUGUAAAUUAACGAGUUAUUUUUAAAUACAACGUCAGUUUUGAAAAAAAAAUAUUUUUGACCCCCUUUUUUUCAAUUUGAAAAUUUCUCUCCCCCCAAAAACACCUCCAAAAUGAAAAUUUUUCGUAGUACCGUAGAAAAGGGUCAUCUACAUCAUAUUCACUAUCAAUGUGCAAAAUUUCAAGCAAAUCGGUUCAUUAGGAGAAGCUGUAGCCUUGUCAACGGAAAUUACCUUCAUGAUUUUUCAGUGACAGAAAUGAGAAAGUAGUGGAAAAGAAAAAAUAAAAUGAAAAUUUUCAAUUGAAGUGUGAAAAAGGGUCAUCUACAUGACUUACACUACCACUAUACAAAAUUUCAAGUAAAUCAGUUCAUUUGAAGAGGCUGUAGCCUUGUCAACGGAAAGUUCCGGUGGUAUAUUUCUAUCAAGCAUACUGAUUUACGGCGGCAUCGGUAAAGAAAGGAGGAGAAGCGGUUUGGGCGAAGCCCAAGGGGGGGUGUGGGGGGGACGAAGUCCCCCCCAACGAACAGAAAGUACUAGUAGUGAUAAGAAUAUUCCUUCAUGAAUCGUGAUAUCACCGGCGACAUCGAGUUGAUCAAGAAUCAAGAUCAAGAAAAUGUCCAUUCCAUGUUUUCUCCGAACUUCCGAAACUGUGAUUUGAUUGCUGGUUUGCUGCCCUGAAUCAAGCGAAAUUCUACGAAAUUCAAGGAUUCAAUCAGGGAACAAUUUUGGUGCUCGAAGAAAGUGAUCUAUCGAAGAAAGUGAGGAUGACAAAGAUUACGAAUGAAGAUUCUUUUCAAUCAAUUAAAAAGUAAUCAUCGUGAAAAUAUUGCCAAGAAAUAUACCUUAUUAUGUUGACCUCGCGGAUGUAUUCUGUGUAAUUCUAUCGUAUCACAUUGUAAAUCGCUACGUUUCAGAUUGAGAUUUUGUGUUUAUCUAGUGUGUGUGUGGAUUUGUCGGUACCGUUAAUUUUGGCUGAAAUAUGUAUCGUAUAAUUCAUUCUGUUUGAAAUACCUAAUAUAAUACAUUUAAUAAUCGUAGGUACUUGAAAGUAUAAAUAUCAAUUAUAUGGAGAAUAACAACAGUAGUAUGACACCAAGUAGAAGCAAACAUAAGAUGAGUAGUAUAGUUGGAAUGGGUGAACCUAGCGGUGGUAUUAAAUUAAUAAUUUCGCCACAAUACGAACCACCUCAAUUGUAACCAAGCAAGAAAAGGAGCGCAUGCAAGAAGAAAUGUACCAGCAAAUGUCCAGAUAUAAACGUAUGCGAAGGGAAGAUCAAGCUGCUUUAGAGAUGAGAUGGAAACGUGAAUUAUCAUUAUUAGAUGAAUCGACACCAAAGAGACAAACAAUCGACCCAAGAUAUCUGCAUAGUUAUCGUUGGCAAUAAAACUUAUCUCGAAAAAGAUAGAAUUUAGAGUUAGUUGACCAGUAUUAAGUAAACUUCAGACCUCAGGUUCAUGUUUAGCUGCAUUUUUACUUGACUAAUGUGUUCAAUUCUAAGUAUUUGUUCUAGAUACGCUAAACAAGUUGGAGCAAAAGUAUAGCAAAACAGUAUCUUGUGUCAGCAAAACUAAACCGUGAUAUAGAAAAAUUAUUCUUAGAAUUUACUCGGUUCAUGGUACAAAAAGCCGAAGAGCAAAUAAGUAAACUGAAAGAAAAGCCUAGAAAAUGCUGCGAUGGUCCAUCACAUUGAUAUCAUCGUUCUAAAAAUUAAUCAGUAUUUUGCAAGUUUCAUUAUCAAUAUCAAUGUAAUUUAUAUCCAACUGCGUAUUAUUACGUAGGAUCGAAUUUGCGUCCUGUUAGAAUAGCUAGAUUUGUGAUGUAUUGAUUUGUCUUAAGAAUAAGACUGGUUUAUACUGAACUUAAUGUACGUUAACAUAAAGUUGCCUUUGUUUAACUUCUAGGUUCAAGUUUAAGGUUACCAUUAAAUUCAGUAUAGCCGCACCUUCAUCGUUGAUCGAGUCAUAAUAGGUACACGUACCUAAUUGCUGAGUGUUGCACGCGCAUUGUUUCAAUUUUAAUACACAUUUUUUUUCA